rnacentral:rRNA from 1 species
UACGGAGGAUCCGAGCGUUAUCCGGAUUUAUUGGGUUUAAAGGGAGCGUAGGUGGACAGUUAAGUCAGUUGUGAAAGUUUGCGGCUCAACCGUAAAAUUGCAGUUGAUACUGGCUGUCUUGAGUACAGUAGAGGUGGGCGGAAUUCGUGGUGUAGCGGUGAAAUGCUUAGAUAUCACGAAGAACUCCGAUUGCGAAGGCAGCCUGCUGGACUGUAACUGACGCUGAGGCACGAAGGCCAGGGGAGCGA